rnacentral:rRNA from 1 species
GACGAACGCUGGCGGCGUGCCUAAUACAUGCAAGUAGAACGCUGAAGGAGGAGCUUGCUUCUCUGGAUGAGUUGCGAACGGGUGAGUAACGCGUAGGUAACCUGCCUGGUAGCGGGGGAUAACUAUUGGAAACGAUAGCUAAUACCGCAUAAGAGUAGAUGUUGCAUGACAUUUGCUUAAAAGGUGCAAUUGCAUCACUACCAGAUGGACCUGCGUUGUAUUAGCUAGUUGGUGAGGUAACGGCUCACCAAGGCAACGAUACAUAGCCGACCUGAGAGGGUGAUCGGCCACACUGGGACUGAGACACGGCCCAGACUCCUACGGGAGGCAGCAGUAGGGAAUCUUCGGCAAUGGACGGAAGUCUGACCGAGCAACGCCGCGUGAGUGAAGAAGGUUUUCGGAUCGUAAAGCUCUGUUGUAAGAGAAGAAUGAGUGUGAGAGUGGAAAGUUCACACUGUGACGG